AUACCCCCUAAAAUGGAUCGCGACUACUAAUCGCGAUCCGAUGUUUUACAUAAUACCCCCUAAUUUGGGUGGCGAUUAUGCAAAUUAGCCCCUUCUUUGAGGAGGUUCCCUCUCCCCGUCCGGCGACGCCCCCGCACCUCCUCCUCCGCGAAUGGGCAUGGUGGAGGCGAACCCCCGCCCGCCGCCACCACCAUCUGAAAGAAGAGGCGAGAUACCUAAGCUACAGAGGAACUAACUGCGGCGAGUGAGAGUGACGGGGAGCGUUGCGCGUCCAUCACAUCGGGUUCCAUUGUCGGAGGAGGCCGGGGAGAUGGUGGCAGAUCGGAGUACGGGUCCGCGGCCAGAUGUCCCGCCCAUUGCAGAUUUGGAGGGAGGAGAGGUCGGCGGUCGGGGACUCGUCCAGGAUUUUGCCGACGGCCGGGGAGGGGGAUCGUGCUGCCGGCCAUCGAAGCGCACAACAUUCUGCAGAUGGUGGCGAAUUCACGGGAACAGCCUGCCAUCAGCAUUCGAGAUAGAAGUCCAUCGAUUGCGAGGGAACAGGAGACACCACCGAAGCUGGAGCGGUUUUUGCCUUGGGAAAAAAGAAGAAGCUAUCUCCACCAGGUGAUUAAGGCAAUCAUGAUCUCGUGUUGGUAGGUAACAGUGUUGAUUUCUUACUAAAUAGCUAAAAAUAGAGGUCCAAUUCGGCACAAUGUUAAUCGAUAGUUUGUUUGCUAGGAACAAUUUGUCAGAUAUCUCAGUCAUUACUUGUCCUGAAACUAUUCAUCUUGGCAGCACCUUGCUAAUGAUCCUUCUGAAUCCAACUGCAUUAACGUGAUGAUAGCAGCAGAUAAUAUAUGACAGUACACAGUAUCAUGGAGUUACGGAAGCUUAAUGGGCUGUCAUGUUCGAGUCAUCUAGCUAGUGUCCAUCCUUGUUGGGCAUGGAAGAAAUGGAAUGCAUAUCUGGUGCUAGAAAUGCGCUUGAUUUAUAUCUCCUUAAUGGAUAAAAGGGUAUGGUGUUGUGUUGACAAGGCAAUAAUCACAGGGUUAACAGUCAAGGUGAAGCUGUCUAACACUUUUGUUGAGUAGAUAGCUCUGUCUCCUGUUCUUCCUACUAUUAUACAAAUGAACCUCACCAAAGAUAAUAACUACAGAUUGUUUUUCCUCUUGUAUCAGUGCUCACGUUAUUCCUUUGCUUUCCUAAUAUGGAACGUCUGUACUCUGGAGUAUUUGAUCGGUUGUUUUCACUACUUGAAAGUUUCUCUCCGCAGGUCUGGCAUGACAUCUUCAGCGAAUAUGUCCUGCAAUACCACCCACCGCCAGCAAAUUCGAAGCAGCAAACUGGUAGAUUCAACUCCUAAGAGCUUGAGCAAAAGCCAACGAAAAAGUUUUGAUUCCUUAUUUGUGCUGGUGGUGUGGCACUUGUGGAAGGAACGCAACUCUAGUGUGUUCAACAAUGCCAGUUCACCCCACGACAGAGGCAAGAUUUGGAGUGGUUCAUGACCAUCAACACCGUCCACCACGGCAUCACCCUGGCAAGAUUUCGCCUUCUGAGUUGCAAAUGGAGUGGUUCCUGACCAUGGCGAUAUUCUGCAGUGUUCCAUUCGACGGCACCUCGGGCAGCAUCUCCCCCACCUUCCACCUCCGUCGGUGACAAAUAAUUUAUCAGGCUCCAAAACCGUAUCCUUAUACUUCUGUCAGUGCAUGUUUUUAGAGGAAAGAAGGGGACGAAGAAAUACCAGAGCUCAACGAGGAGAUCAAAUUGAAGUAGUGGAGGAGGCGCAUGGUAGCUUUUACGGGUUGCCAUUUCAAUCUGCUUCUUUUAUGUAUUUCAAAUGCCACUCCCAUAUCAGUCUUGGUGUGAUUGAAUUUCAGUGGUGGAGUUUCAAGUUUGAACAUUGGGUGAUGCCAUUUGUGUCGCUGUUGUUCCAGAAUUCUCAGAAACGGAGGAAAAAUGGAGAAAGGAACCAAUCAUACUGUUCAUGAUGGUGAUAUAAUGAGUUAACUCAUGGUCUCUUUUACUGCAUUUGCAAGAAAUAUGCACGGCACCAAUUAACAAAAUGUCCUAGGGGUAUAUACUAAGUUUGCAGUAAUGAUAUAGUUUCAGCAAUGCUGAUGAGUUCUACGAAGCGCGCUACUUACUUUGGGGCUUCAUUCAAAUUGUACAUUGGCUUGGCUAGAAUCCAUGGUACAGAUUCACCACUGUGGUCAGUGUUGCUGGAGAAAAAUCUGAACAAUCUGCACAUUUUAGACUAAAUCAUGCCUGUCUCACUAACUUCCUGCAUGUUCACUUCUAGCUCAGGUUACCGGCAGCAGUAGGUUGGUGAUUAUCAAGUAUCAAGCGUGUCUGCAAAUGAUAGGUAUUCAGUAUUCCGUGACCGUAAAAUGUUCAGUAUUUCCCGUGCCAUUUUACUUCAACUUAAAAAAGUUUAUACAAUAGAAAUGUGUUUCUUUAAGACGGACAACCACAUUCCAAUAGAAAACAGUAAUAUGCUUCUGUAGAAUAUAUCAUGCAUCUGUUAUACUGAUUGUUUGCGAACUUCAGUUGUUUUAUUGGGAAUUGAAAAGUCAGAUUGCAGAUGAUGAUUCUGCCCAGGGCUGUUGGUUCUGCCCAGGGAUCUUUCAGGGAGGCGCAAAGAAGUAGAUUGUGGUGAUCUUGCAGUCUAAUUUUGAUUCAAGUUCGGAAGGCAUCACUGCAACUGACCAACCGUGCACUCUGUACUGUUUGUAUUGAUUCUGACAUCCAGGCCAACAUCCUUGACGACAUGGCCGUCUGCCUCAAGUUCAGGAGCUCAGGCGCAUCAAGAAAGCCGGCCAAUCGGUUUAUCCAAUCUUAUAAUAGAACACAAAGCUACGGGCGACAGAGAAUGGCGAACGCAAAAACGCCGUGCUGGAAGGCGGUGGCGGACCUCGGGAGGCUUCCGUCGUCCCCAGCAAGCUUCCCGCCGGUCUCCUCGCCGCCUCCCGCUGCUGUCCAUGGGGGAAGCCGGUGGAGACCUGGAGAAUCUCUAUGCUGUGCGGGUAACCCGGUAGGAACAGGGACGGCGGGUGGAAGCCGCCACCGGGGCUGUAGAGGGAGCAGGGGAGGUCGGGGACAAAAGAGUUGGCAAAUGGGUCCUCGAUUUGG